AACAAACGCUGGCGGCGUGCCUAACACAUGCAAGUCGUACGAGAAAGUUCGCUUCGGCGGAUGAGUAGAGUGGCGCACGGGUGCGUAACACGCGGAUCAUCUACCUUUCAGUUGGGAACAACUCAUCGAAAGGUGGGCUCUUCUCGAAUAAUGCUGCGCAACGGAGGUGGUGUAGCCAAAGCUGGCCUCGGCUUGCAAGCUAUCGCUGAAGGAGGAGGUGGCGUAACAUUAGCUGGUGGGUAGGGUAAUGGCCUACCAAGGCGACGAUGGCUAGCCGGUCUGACAGGAUGAGCGGCCACACUGGAACUGAGACACGGUCCAGACUCCUACGGGAGGCAGCAGUGAGGAAUCUUGAGCAAUGGGGGAAACCCUGUCGCGGCAACGCCGCGUGAGUGAUGAAGGCCCUUGGGUCGUAAAGCUCUGACAGAGGGAAAGAAAUGUGGGUGGCUAAGAUCCAUUCCCCUUGACGGUACCCUCAAAGGAAGCACCGGCUAACUCCGUGCCAGCAGCCGCAGUAAUAC
rnacentral:rRNA from 1 species